AAGUGUUUGAAAAAUCAGCCCAUUUGUUGUCUUCAGUGUCACAAUGCUACAAAGCAGAAGACCUCUAUGGCUAUCCUGGAGAAUGUAGACAACGCAGCACACAAUGGACAUCAUGUGGACACUUAGACUUGUCAGUGAAUCCAAGAGCACGUUUGCCAGCCGGCAGGCCAGUGCCCUCACAUCCACAUUGACGUCCCUCGAGCUGUCAGAUCUGGGCUGGCUGGCUUUGAAACCGGUCUGGAAGCAUGCAAAUUGGAUUACGUCCUGCUUUCCUGCUAUCCUACACCAUUUCUGGGUUGUGUUUGUGCUGUAAGCUUUACCGCAGAGCAGAGCGAGAGAAAGUAGGGGGUGAAUCUGGGCAUUAGCAUUCCAAAAGUCACAUGUGACAUGGCUUCAGCCAAUCACUGGACGUUAUGCUUUCAUGACCCUCCCCCUUCUUCCUAAAUCCCUCCCCUGCUUCUUGUUCUGUCAGUCUACCAGCACCAUGGCAACACAAAGGGCUUUAAUGCCUCUUUAGGAUUUCAUGGCGGCUCGCUUGAAAUGCAUGUUGAAAAGUUUACUGACGCAAGCGAGAAGUGUAUGAAUGAUGCCUUCAAUAAUGAUCUGUUUACUCAUUAAUUGUUUGACCUGUGACCUGUUUGGUUACAUUUUAAGGAUUUAUUAAUCUUGGUUAAUGUUACUUUUGUAAAUACUAAUAGAUAAACAUCUGGAGUUAUGUUAACUAACCUAAGCUAGUGUAUUAUGAAUUAACAUAAUGCAUAAUAACAAUAAUUAUUUAUUUAAAAGAUUAAUAAUUACUGUAAAAAUAGCUGUUCUUUGUUCGCAAUGCAUGUCCUAAUAUUAACAAAUUGAAUCUUGUUUUAAAGGGUUGCCAAAUAAUGAAAUAAUGACGCAUAAAAUCUUUUGAAUUUAUUCCAUGUUUGAUAUUGUAUUAUCUUAAGUAAUUUUUUCUUCAAUCUCUAUCUCAGUUUUUUUUUUAGAUAAAGACAAUGCUAACAUCCCAUGAGCCGCUGGCUUCUGUGUAGGCAAUUGGGUUGCAAUAUAUGCAAAUAUAUUCAAAUAAUGGAGCACCGAGAUCACAGUAAAACACAGUCCUCGGGGGCCUGGGGUUAAGCUGAUUGGUUGCAAGGCUAAUUCCGAGUGUCUUGAUUGGUCCAGAGGGUGAUUGGCCUUAAUGUCAGUGGUCAUGUGUUUGUUCCUCAUCAUGGGGGGAGGUGGAAGCCACUGGAAAAUAUCUAGCAUGUCCAUGUAUUUUUAAAUGCAAGGCUGCAAUAUUUUAUUACCAAAAAAUACAGUACAUUUAUAUACCCUGAUAUGAACGCCUUAGCAACUGCUACCCUAGUGUUGUACCUUAAGGUGUUGAGUUUUAGACCAACAAGCACUGCUUAUAUGUUCUUAAGAACAUUUUUAAAUCUUGUGUAUUUUUCAACACUUAUGAUUUAUCAUAAGGCAGAGCAGAUGGAUCCAAAAUAGCAAUUUAUUUAACAUAAAAUUAAAUUGAUUGUAGCUAAUGAGAAGAGUUUGUGUAUUACAUGCCUUGUCUUUUUAUCAUUCUCUUGGAAAUCAUUAUUAUAAUUCAGCAAUAUGAUUGCUAUGUACAAACCAUAUUUUACACUUUAUUUUAA